rnacentral:rRNA from 1 species
GACGAACGCUGGCGGCGUGCUUAACACAUGCAAGUCGAGCGGUAAGGCCCUUUCGGGGGUACACGAGCGGCGAACGGGUGAGUAACACGUGGGUGACCUGCCCUCAGCUCUGGGAUAAGCCUGGGAAACCGGGUCUAAUACCGGAUAUGACUCCAUGACGCAUGUUGUGGGGUGGAAAGCCUUGUGCGGCUGGGGAUGGGCCCGCAGCCUAUCAGCUUGUUGGUGGGGNGAUGGCCUACCAAGGCGACGACGGGUAGCCGGCCUGAGAGGGCGACCGGCCACACUGGGACUGAGACACGGCCCAGACUCCUACGGGAGGCAGCAGUGGGGAAUCUUGCGCAAUGGGCGAAAGCCUGACGCAGCGACGCCGCGUGAGGGAUGACGGCCU